UACGUAGGGGGCAAGCGUUAUUCGGAUUUACUGGGUGUAAAGGGAGCGCAGACGGCAGUGCAAGUCUGGAGUGAAAGCCCGGGGCCCAACCCCGGAACUGCUCUGGAAACUGUGCGGCUAGAGUACUGGAGGGGCAGGCGGAAUUCCUAGUGUAGCGGUGAAAUGCGUAGAUAUUAGGAGGAACACCAGUGGCGAAGGCGGCCUGCUGGACAGUAACUGACGUUGAGGCUCGAAAGCGUGGGGAGCAAACAGG
rnacentral:rRNA from 1 species